rnacentral:lncRNA from 1 species
UAUCAAAUGUAUCAAUAGGUCCACUUAAAAGUACUAUCUUAUAUAGAGAUUUACUUUAUGGUUUUUAAAAGCAUAGUUUGUGCUUUUUGAUGUUCAGUGUCUCAGGCUUAAAAGAGAAGUCGGCAGUCCUGAGCAAAAAAUAUUUUUGGCACAGGAUUUUUGGUUUUGCUUUAUUUUAAGGUAUGAUACACGGAAUGAGUUGGUUAUUUAUUUAUUGUUGUUGUUUUAGUUCCUUAUUUUUCUAAUUUAUUUUGAGUUUUUUUUAGUAUGGCAUAUUUCAGAUUUCAGUGACAAGCAUGGAUCAUCCAAGUAAUUAUAAACCAGUUGGGUUAUUUUACCUAAGGUGAGGGACAUGGCCACUAAUUAAAGCCAAGCCAGACUAUACUCUAUAAAAGUAGCAUGGGGCAAAAGUUAAAAUAAUCUUUUGAAAAUCAAGUGCCUCCUGGUUUCUCUUCUCAUGAAAAAAUGACAACCCUAGUCCUACUUGCCCUCCCCUCUCCUCUACCAUGUCUAGUUUCUGGAAUUACUUGGAUGGAGUAGAAAAUGGAUUAGCACGGGCUCAGCCCCUGUAGAUAGCAUUCUUCUUACAUUAUGCUGCCAUAUCUCCAGGGUAUACAGAUUGGCUAAAAUAUUAAAAUUUCAUCUUUUACACAGCAUAAAGGCAUUUAACUUUAAUGUAUAGUGAACAAAGGCAAAUUGGGUCAUAUCAAAUGUAACCUUAAAGCACAGACUGUAAACAUCUUUGAAUGUGGUAGGUCUCAGGCAAGCGCUGUCAUUCCCACCUUGGUGUGCAGGCUGGCUUUGCGGACAAGGGCACCAGCACAUUUGUGUUUCUUAAGUUGCAUGUUGGGAAGUGAAUGUUUUUUCGUAAAAGUUGCCAAGUCAUUCCAGUCCUGAAUAAGUAGCAAAAUGAUAAUUGAUACCCACUGUUGUCAUUAUCCACUUUGUAUUAUUUGCUUUAAAAUACUAAGCAAAUCCCAGCUGCUUCCUGAGUCGGUGGACUAGUACAGUAUCUCUUUCUAUCCAGCUCCUAGCCACUAGGGGAACUUGAGGUUCUUUGGUAAUCAUCAGAGGUUCCUUCCAGGCCACAGAUUUUUAUGCAAAUGUUUCUAUGGUUGCAUUCAAUCUACAAGGAAAAAGUGUACUUAGUGCAUGUUUUAUAAACCCACGCGCAGAUAGUUAAAACUAUAAUUAGUUUUUCUAUACCCGAUAGCUUUGAGUUAAAAACAGAUGCUUUUUUCCCCCAGAGGAUUCUUUGUUCUGCGAACUACAUUAUUAAUCUAACAUUAGGAAUUGGUGAUAGGAGAAACAGGAUCCGGAAUUCAGAGUUCAGUGGCUUAGGGAAAAAAAAAUGCAUCUUAUUCUGGCCAUUUGAAUAUAAAUUUGUAGGUAAGUCUAGAUUUAGUCUUGGAGAUCAAAGUUUUCACAUUUAAAACUUUUUUCAUGCCUUUAUAUCUAUCAAAACAUGGUGUAUGUUAGGGAAUCAUUUUUUCUGUCAUGUUCAUGUAUUUUGGAAUGAAGUUGUUUGCAGUCACUCUUUUAUAUUCUGCCCACUUCUGUUUAUGAGCAUUUACCACAGAUGUGUUGGGACUUUGCCUAAAGGGAGGCAGAUUUUGGCACCUGUAUCACUGAGGAGAGAGAGACUGGUUGGUGACAGGGCAUUGUUCAACUUUCUUAAGUUUGGGUCUGUACAGUUUGUGUUUUAACACAAAAAGUAUUACAGGAUUGAGGCAUAUAACCACUACGGUAGUCCCCACAUGUCAAUAUUCACCCGAGUUCCAGGUGCAGAUUUAGACCUUAACUUAGAGAAGGGAACAUGCAGCAGCUGCGGUCCUCAGACCACAUAGGAGGACAUGGUACAUGGAAGCCCCCAGGUGGUGGUGAGGACCUCCCACUUCCCUGCCCCCAUCCAGUAGAACUCUAGUGUACACCUUGAAGAUGGGAGGGGAGUGUGGAAACAUCAUAUCAUUGGAUUUUUUCAAUCAUUUGGUUGCCCCUUUGGCAUUAGGAGAACGUUUAACCCAGAUAGUCUUAGGGGCCUACAAAUUCAGUUGCCAACAGUGCGAGGGAGAGCUGCAGGAAGUAUAUAGGGAAUUCCUAUAGUUCUUAGGUAAAUCCAGGGCAUAGGACAAGGAUCCCUAUUAAUUUGAAGGGGAAUUUGGAUGCUGCACACCUCAGUCCCUAAGAAAUCCUUGGCUGGACAUGAAAUGAUGACAGUAGAGUCUUGGCCCAUCAGUACAUUGUCUGAGUUGUAAUGAUUAUUUGCUCUGACUUUGAAAAUAUAAGCUUGCUGUUUAAUUAUUCCCCUUGAGCAAAUUUGUUGGUCAGAAUAUGAAAGUAUGUGACAAGAUCAAGGUAACUUUGUAGUUAUUAUACACAAUCUCAAAAAACUGAAUAACCAACAAGUAACAUUUAGUAAUGAUUUGAAUAGUUCCUUACAUUUUGCUGGAUCUUUGGUCUAAGGAGACAUGUAAAGGAAAUGAGGCCUUUUUUUCAUUACCCUGUGAAACUUUAAGAGUCUGCCUGUUAAAUUGGAAGUAACAGUAUGGGCAUAGUAUGUAUUGCUGGUGAUGCUGACAUGUCUCUUCGGUACCCCUGGGCCAGAGGUUCUGGGUUCCUUGACCUAUAGAAUAGGAUUCCAUGAGGCAGAUAUUUGAAUCUAUGUGACUAGAGAAUUUUCCCAUGGCAUAAUUUUACAUACUAAUGAUGGAUAGGAAUUUUACCCCUCUUUUCAGUAGUUUAAUACCAUUUCAUAUUAUGUACAGAAGUGUUCACUCACCCAGCAAAGAACAUGGAGUAAACCCAAGUUUUUAAUAUACACUCUCCUUGCCAUAUGAUCCUUUCUACCCGCUUUACAGUACACAGUUUAAAAUCAUUAAAAAUUCAUUCACAGCAUUUCCCCAUAUUUGGAAUCUGGGUCUUGUUCUUCACUUACAGGGAUAAAUAAGGUGACCAGAGCUUGAAUGUGAUUUAUUUUAGGGAAUGACCCAGGGAGGGGAAAGCCCUUAGGACUUUUCAAAACUAUUUUCUUUUUAAACGAUUCACAAGAUAGAUAAAUUAGUUCACUAAGGUAAAAAGCAUUCAGAAAUACAGUUAGGAAGAUGAGGUAAACAACACUCCUGCCUCUUGGGGCUCUGAAAUUGGAUUGAGUGAAUUGAAGAAAGAAGAGAACUGAUUAGACGACUGAUGCUUGAACCCACACACUCCUCUCUCCUGCACAGCUCCUGUCCCCCUCCUGACUCCAUUCCUAAAAUUGCCAAGUGCUGAUUCAAUUGGGCCAUUUAUUUACCAGUUUGCAGCUUUUAGGAAGAAAGAGGGACGGGGAGACAUCUAGUUUUGACUUAGGUAUAAUUCUUGAAAGUAAUGAACUGUUGGCAGCUGUUAACAUCGAUUGAACCACAAACCAGAAGAAUUCUCUUGUCGAGCAAGACCAUUAAGUUAGAAUAGAGGACUUUAAUAAUCCCAAGGUUUUCUCCCUUUCUCCUCCUCUUCAUGAAACCAGAGUGAUGAGAAGUUGCUCUUUGAAAUACUUCCAAAGGUAUUGUAUUGUCCUUUUCCCUCCAAGCAGCCCUCUUUAUGCAUUUUUGCUCAGGCAACCAAGGACAUAAGAGUAUUGGCAGAAACAUGGAGUGCUUUUGUAUAGGCCAUCUGUACAUAAAAGUGUAAUUAUUUAUUUAAUUUCCCCAUUUGUAUCAUAUUAAAGCUUUGUACAGUGUUUUAAGUUCUGUUUUAAAAUUAUUUUGUAUUUUAUUUUUAUAAUCUAGUAAUAAAAUAUUCAUUCCGCAUGCACACUCUA